rnacentral:rRNA from 1 species
AUUGAACGCUGGCGGCAUGCUUUACACAUGCAAGUCGAACGGCAGCACGGACUUCGGUCUGGUGGCGAGUGGCGAACGGGUGAGUAAUACAUCGGAACGUACCGCGUAGUGGGGGACAACAAGUCGAAAGAUUUGCUAAUACCGCAUACACUCUGAGGAGAAAAGCAGGGGACCUUCGGGCCUUGUGCUAUGCGAGCGGCCGAUGGCUGAUUAGCUAGUUGGUGGGGUAAAGGCCUACCAAGGCAACGAUCAGUAGCGGGUCUUAGAGGACGAUCCGCCACACUGGAACUGGGACACGGUCCAAACUCCUACGGGAGGCAGCAGUGGGGAAUCUUGGACAAUGGGCGCAAGCCUGAUCCAGCAAUGCCGCGUGCGUGAAGAAGGCCUUCGGGUUGUAAAGCGCUUUUGUCAGGGAGCAAAGACUGAUGGCUAAUAUCCAUCGGAGUUGAGAGUACCUGAAGAAUAAGGACCGGCUAACUAGGUGCCAGCCGCCGCGGUAAAAC